AUAAUGUAUCUGUUCUGUAUAGCUAUCUCGCGGUGAGUUUUGGUACUUAAUGCUCAUCGUAAAGAACACCGCAUAGUUAUAGAAGUGUUCACAGAUGGGAAGUAGAUAUUUUUUUUCUAUUUUGAAUUUGAAUUGUAUAGAUAUAAGUGAAAAUUUUGUUGUGAAGAUUAGGAUGUUUAUUUCUUUGAUUUGUAUAAACAUAUUUAGUUGGAUUUUAAAAUAAUUCAAAUUUAAAAAGAGGUAGAGGGAUAUUUUAUACUGAUGUAAGGGAAAUAUUAAUUAAAUUUAAAUUAUUUUAAUUCACAGAAUAUAUAAUGUACAUAUAAUCAUGAUCAAUGGCUAACUAGUUUGACUAUUAUUACACUUCACCUUGUUGGCAGAACUGGAGAACAGCUGUUAAUUAACUAAAGUCAUUUUUGUAAUGAGCUGUUUCUUCAAAUCUUUCUUAGUUGGCUGAUUCCCUUAAAAAUUGUACAAACUCGUGAAAAUACGAGUUCAAGCAUUAGGCCUACUGUACUUGAAACAGUCAUAGUCCGUAGGAACUGGGAAUCACAGCCUAUUUAAGCCAGUCAAACCGUAGGAAUUUUACCAAGUAAGACUGUUGCCAUUUAAUUACUGAUAUAGUAAUAUUAGAUAUCAUUUAUAAGGAAGAUUAUAAAGGAUUUUCAUUAUUUUGAAGAAUAAAAGUAUAAUUUGUUAUAACCAUG